AGAGCGAACGCUGGCGGCAGGCCUAAUACAUGCAAGUCGAACGGACCCUUCGGGGUUAGUGGCGGACGGGUGAGUAACACGUGGGAACGUGCCCUUUGGUUCGGAACAACUCAGGGAAACUUGAGCUAAUACCGGAUGUGCCCUUCGGGGGAAAGAUUUAUCGCCAUUGGAGCGGCCCGCGUCUGAUUAGCUAGUUGGUGGGGUAAAGGCCUACCAAGGCUACGAUCAGUAGCUGGUCUGAGAGGAUGAUCAGCCACACUGGGACUGAGACACGGCCCAGACUCCUACGGGGGGCAGCAGUGAGGAAUUUUCGUCAAUGGGGCAACCCUGAACGAGCAACGCCGCGUGCAGGAAGAAGGUUUUCGGAUCGUAAACUGCUUUUCUCGGGGAAGAGAACGGACGGUACCCGAGGAAUCAGCCCCGGCUAACUACGCGCCAGCAGCCGC
rnacentral:rRNA from 1 species